CGGGGCCUUGUGGAAGUCGCACGUCCUACAUGGGUGUGACAACUGGAAAUAAAAAGAAAAAAAUAGUAGCCGACCCAGCAAUUAAAAAGUAAACGUCCAUGCUACAACAUGUCACGACUUGGGUAGUAUCCUCCAUAUAAAAAGAAAUGAAUAUUCAAUUAGGGGGGUGCCCUACAAUUUUUGCAGCAUCACGUCACACUCCACGGCCCAAGCAAGCACACCUUGGCAGCAACUUAGGAGACAACCAACACGAAACCCUAGGAUAUAAAAAUGGGACAGCAGCCGUCAUUCAGGGGUGUGGGGCACUUAGCUUA
rnacentral:lncRNA from 1 species